AUGGAAGUCACUCCCGCGCGGGGCGUGGCGACCGAGAUUGAGCAGUGCGAGGCCGGCGGCGGCGUGGAGCCGGAGCCGGCGCCGGCCGCGUCCGCGCAGCACGAGGAGCGCGUGCCGCCGUGGCGCGUGCAGAUAACGGCGCGGGGCCUGGUGGCGGCGCUGCUCAUCGGCUUCGUCCUCACCGUCAUCAUCCUCAAGCUCGCGCUCUCCACGGGCAUCAUCCCCACGCUCAACGUCUCCGCCGCGCUGCUCGCCUUCCUCGCGCUCCGCGGGUGGACGCACGUGCUCGGGCGCCUCGGCGUCCCCUCCCGCCCCUUCACUCGUCAGGAGAACACCGUCGUCCAGACCUGCGCCGUCGCCUGCUACUCCAUGGGGUUCGGCGGUGGGUUCGGGUCGUCGUUGCUGGCUCUGAACAAGAAGACGUACGAGCUUGCCGGGGUGAGCACGCCGGGCAACGCGCCGGCGAGCUAUAAGGAGCCCGGGUUCGGGUGGAUGGCCGGAUUCCUAUUAGCCAUCAGCUUCGUGGGGCUCCUCAACUUGCUUCCGCUCAGAAAGGCUUUGGUCAUAGAUUACAAAUUGACUUAUCCAAGCGGGACUGCAACUGCUGUACUCAUAAACGGAUUCCAUACCCCUCAGGGAGAAAAGAACGCAAAAAUGCAGGUCCGCGGAUUCCUGAGGAGCUUCGGGAUCAGCCUCAUAUGGAGCUUCUUCCAGUGGUUCUACACAGGUGGCCAGAGUUGUGGGUUUCUACAAUUCCCUACUUUUGGUCUAAAGGCUUGGAAGCAAACGUUCUUCUUUGAUUUUAGUCUCACAUAUGUCGGCGCGGGGAUGAUCUGCUCACACCUUGUAAACCUAUCCACACUUUUCGGUGCGGUACUUUCUUGGGGAAUAAUGUGGCCACUCAUCAGCAAACAAAAGGGCAUUUGGUACCCGGCAAAUGUACCAGAAAGCAGCAUGACUAGCUUGUUUGGUUACAAGUCCUUCAUGUGUGUAGCUCUGAUCAUGGGGGAUGGCCUCUAUCACUUCAUCAAACUCACAGGCAUCACUGCUAAGAGUCUGCAUGCACAAUACAACCGUAAACAUGUUAAGAGAGCGGCAAAUGAGGAUACAGUUUCAUUUGAUGAUUUGCAGCGCAAUGAGGUCUUCACCAGGGAAUACAUUCCAAACUGGCUAGCGUAUGCCGGAUAUGCCUCAUUAAGUAUCAUUGCUGUAAUUGUCAUACCGAUAAUGUUCCAGCAGGCCAAGUGGUACUAUGUCGUUGUAGCUUAUGUGCUUGCUCCCGUGCUGGGGUUCUCCAAUGCCUAUGGAACUGGGCUCACUGACAUGAGCAUGAGCUAUAAUUAUGGCAAGAUUGCUCUCUUCAUCUUUGCAGCCUGGGGAGGGAAGGAUGAUGGUGUCAUUGCCGGCCUUGUUGGUUGUGCGAUAGUGAAGCAGCUAGUGCAAGUCUCCGCAGAUCUGAUGCAUGACUACAAGACGGGCCAUCUGACACUGACAUCACCGAGAUCACUGCUUGUCGGGCAGGCCAUUGGUACAGUCAUGGGCUGCAUCAUCGCGCCGUCUACGUUUUUGCUCUUCUACAAAGCAUUUGAUAUUGGAAACCCAGACGGAUACUGGAAGGCUCCGUACGCGCUGAUAUACCGGAACAUGGCCAUUCUCGGCGUCGAGGGCUUCUCUGCACUGCCAAAGCGUUGCCUUGAACUGUCUGCUUCUUGCUUCGCAUUUUCUGUGCUCGUGAACCUUGUCAGGGACUUCUCGCCACAAAAGUACCGGAAGUACGUUCCCCUUCCGAUGGCGAUGGCUGUGCCGUUCCUAGUUGGCGCCAACUUUGCCAUUGACAUGUGUGUGGGGAGCUUGGUAGUCUUCAGCUGGCACAAGAUGAAGAAAAAGAAGGCUAAGCUGCUGGUGCCUGCAGUUGCCUCUGGUUUUAUCUGUGGAGAUGGUAUAUGGAUGUUUCCUUCUUCCUUGCUUUCCCUUGCUAAGGUUAACCCGCCCAUCUGCAUGAAGUUCACACCGGGAAGCUAG
rnacentral:rRNA from 1 species